GGUCGCGUGGCCGAGUGGCUAGGCACAGCUCUGCAAAAGCUGCUACAGCGGUUCGAGUCCGCUCGCGACCU
rnacentral:tRNA from 1 species